rnacentral:rRNA from 1 species
GAAGGGGGCUAGCGUUGCUCGGAAUUACUGGGCGUAAAGGGCGCGUAGGCGGACAUUUAAGUCAGAGGUGAAAGCCCAGGGCUCAACCUUGGAAUUGCCUUUGAUACUGGAUGUCUUGAGUUCGGGAGAGGUGAGUGGAAUGCCGAGUGUAGAGGUGAAAUUCGUAGAUAUUCGGCGGAACACCAGUGGCGAAGGCGACUCACUGGCCCGAUACUGACGCUGAGGCGCGAAAGCGUGGGGAGCAAACAGGAUUAGAUACCCUGGUAGUCCACGCCGUAAACGAUGAGUGCUAGUUGUCGGCAUGCAUGCAUGUCGGUGACGCAGCUAACGCAUUAAGCACUCCGCCUGGGGAGUACGGUCGCAAGAUUA